CAGGGUGAUCAAACCUUAUUGGUGAGGUUAAUGUUGCAGCCGCCGUGCAGCAGAGUGUGGAUGACGGGGAUGUGACUGUGGAUCACCGCCAGGUGAAGAGGAGUCUCCAGACCCAACAGGAAACAUGACUGAAAGUGUUCCACCGCCGCCCAGCUCGUCUUCACUUACCUGAUUCUGGAAGUCGGCGUGCGUGUUGUAGUCUAAGAGGAUCUGGACCAGAGACGUGUCUCCUCUCUCGGAGACCGCAUGGAGUGCGCUGCUUUUCGUCUACGAGAAAGAGAAGGUCCGACUCCAGAUGAGGUUAUGUGCGUGACCAUCACCUGAGGAACUUGUCGAUGGUGUUGACACGACCUAUGACUUU